rnacentral:lncRNA from 1 species
GGAAAAUGAUAUUUUUAACUUCAGAUUUGCAUUGCACGUCAAAACUGAUUGCUUAGUCAUUACAGAACUCUAUUAUCAAAAUUCUGUGAAGGUAGUGAUUAUUUUUAUUUGGUUUUCUGUACCUGGGUCCAGCAGGGGGCCGAGGGGAAGCAGCGCCCACCCUUCUGCAGUCGCACAAGGCGGGAUGGAGAGCUGGGGUGCACAGAGGGUGUCUGUCAGAGGAGUGAUGCUGCUGUGGGCUGGGAGGAAAAGGAGAGUUCAGCGACGUCCUGAGGCUCAGAAUGGCAGUGAACUACCAUGAGGACAAGGAGUAAAAGGUGUUCAUAUAGCCAUUGUACAAAGUACAAAGCAUCUAGCCAUUAACGAAGCAUCUCCAGUGACAUAUUGUCCUAACCUCUGAAUAUUGCUAAGGUGAAUUCCUAUCCCUGGCUGACAUUUAUAUUAAACUAUUUGCAGUAUGUAUUCCUGAAUAAAAGUCCUGAAUAAAAUCA